UUUUGUGGGGUCUUGCUUUCUCUCCAAGUUUUGAGUUUUUUUUUUUAAUUUUCUAUUUCUCCUUAUCGGAAUGGGAUACUGCUUCCUGGGUUAUAAAUUCUAGGGCACAAGGUUGUUCUUUUAAGGCCUUCCGAGUCUUGUUGUGAAGUCUUUGUUUUUUGGGUUUCAAUUGUAAUAAUUAAGAUGAAAAGGGUUUCUCUGGUUGAUGAAAAAACUAGAGCUAGAUUGAAGCAUCAAACCCUACUCCAGGAAUUCUUGGAUUUGCAAAAGGAAUUUGUUUCCAAGAAGAAAAAACUUCCGGUGAUGAACCAGAAGCGAGACGCCCUCUUGGCCGAAGUUAGAUUUUUUGCGGCGGAGGUACAGCUAUUUAUUGAUGAUCAAGUCUCAAGAGUAUGAAUAUCAGCAAGAUUCUGUUCAAUCACAAAAUCCCAACCUGCAAAGCAAAUUGGCUAAGCCUAAGAGUUUGGCUAUCAAUGGAGCCGGUAAAAGAAGACCAUGUUCUCUUCCUGAUAUCGAUCUGAAUGUUUUCAUGAAGAAGGAAUUGGGCGAAAUCAAGGAAAUGUUCAGGCCCAGUUGAGAAAGGAGAAGAAGCCGAAAAACUGUUUGAGUAAUGGCAAAAGAGUUGGGAAGAAGAAAAUAACAUGGCAAGAUCCAGUGGCUUUGAAAGUCUGAAUCAAAUGGACAGUAAAGUUAUUUUUUCACACAGUUUAGCAGUUAAAACAAAGGUGGGAGCAAGAGUUAAAUGUCUCCCUCAAGAACAUUUGAGUGGGCAUUGCUACAGAUUAUUAUUAUUAUCACUGCCUUAUACUUCUUUUCUUUAGAAUUAAUUGUAAAUCAGGGAAAGUUUGCUCAGUUUAAGCAUACAUAUGAAUUCAUUGAUCGCUCAUUAAUC